rnacentral:rRNA from 1 species
UACGGAGGAUCCAAGCGUUAUCCGGAAUCAUUGGGUUUAAAGGGUCCGUAGGCGGUUUUGUAAGUCAGGGGUGAAAGCCCAUCGCUCAACGGUGGAACGGCCAUUGAUACUGCAAGACUUGAAUUAUUGGGAAGCAACUAGAAUAUGUAGUGUAGCGGUGAAAUGCUUAGAGAUUACAUGGAAUACCAAUUGCGAAGGCAGGUUGCUACCAAUACAUUGACGCUGAUGGACGAAAGCGUGGGGAGCGAACAGG